ACUCAAAGGAAUUGACGGGGACCCGCACAAGCAGUGGAGUAUGUGGUUUAAUUCGAAGCAACGCGAAAAACCUUACCAGGACUUGACAUCCUAAGAACCUGAAUGAAAGUUCGGGGUGCCCUUCGGGGAAUUUAGAGACAGGUGGUGCAUGGUUGUCGUCAGCUCGUGUCGUGAGAUGUUGGGUUAAGUCCCGCAACGAGCGCAACCCUUGCCUUCAGUUACUACGAAAGAGGACUCUGGAGGGACUGCCGUUGAUAAAACGGAGGAAGGUGGGGACGACGUCAAAUCAUCAUGCCCUUUAUGUUCUGGGCUACACACGUACUACAAUGGGCGACACAACGGGAGGCAAUGGCGCGAGCCGGAGCAAAUCCCCAAAGGCGUUCAUAGUUCGGAUUGCAGGCUGCAACUCGCCUGCAUGAAGCCGGAAUUGCUAGUAAUCGCGAAUCAGCAUGUCGCGGUGAAUACGUUCCCGGGUCUUGUACACACCGCCCGU
rnacentral:rRNA from 1 species